UGGGUUAUAGCUCAAGUGGUAGAGUACAUGCCUAGCAAACUGGAGUUCUUGGGUUCAAUCUCCAAUACCUCAA
rnacentral:tRNA from 1 species